UACAGAGGGGGCAAGCGUUGUUCGGAAUUACUGGGCGUAAAGGGCGCGUAGGCGGCCUUCUAAGUCGAACGUGAAAUCCCUGGGCUCAACCCAGGAACUGCGUCCGAUACUGGAAGGCUUGAAUCCGGGAGAGGGAUGCGGAAUUCCAGGUGUAGCGGUGAAAUGCGUAGAUAUCUGGAGGAACACCGGUGGCGAAGGCGGCAUCCUGGACCGGCAUUGACGCUGAGGCACGAAAGCCAGGGGAGCAAACGGG
rnacentral:rRNA from 1 species